rnacentral:tRNA from 1 species
GUUUUAAUAGUUUAAAAUAAAAAUAAUGAUCUUGUAAAUCAUAGAUAGAAAAAUCUUUAAAACU